UUCUUUUAAUGACAUCGUUAACAUUUCUCAACAAAAACACAUGAAAGUAACACUGAUAAUUCAACAAUAAAAUCGCUUCAUUUUCCAAAGUGAUUCACGAUCUGAAAGUGCGCAGAUUUAACGUACAUAAUCCUUGGUUGGGUUUAUUAUUUUUAUUUCACACGUAAAACUCAUUUAUAGUUUUAUUCACCACUCCUGUUAGUUUUGGAUGCGCUCGGCUCCAACCAAUCAGACGCAACCGGUGUAAGCAAAGGAUGAUGGGAGAACGGAGAGACCCGUUUAUAAGAAUAAGAAAAGGAGGCGGAAUUGAUUGAUUCAAAUGCAGAGGGGACACACUUGUCUAAUUUAUUGUACGUAGUAAACGUUAUAUUAUUUGAUAUAUUUAUUAUAAAUUUUAUAUAUCUGUAUAUAUGUUUCAGUAAGUAAAUAUUCUUCAAUCUCUUUUUUCCCCCAUUUUCCGCAGAUCAGCAUCAAUGUCCACGUGAAGAACCUAGUUAUGUUGCCAGUGUCAACCCAACAAAAGGCACUUUCACAAUAUAUAUAAGAAGUGUAUGGAACUGAGGUGCUUCUCAGGAGCUGCUUCAGUUGUUGGAGGAUGGAGAAGAGGACGCAGCCAUGACUUGUGAGACGGCGUCUGAGUCAGCUACUACUCACUAGGAGAUCAGAAACAUGGUGUCCUUGCAAAAGUGGAAAGAGGCCAGGCCUUGUCUUAUAGACAAUAUGUUAGCUACUCUGGAUCCACUGUCACACCGUGUGUGUCAGUGUGGCAAACAAGUAGUUGUGAGGUGUCUGGACUGCCUGCCUCUUCCAUUCCUUUGUGCUGAGUGUGAUAUUGCAGUUCACACACACUUUGUCCUGCACAACAGAGAGGCAGUAACAAGAGGGUUUUUGCAGCCUUCAUCAGAGUUUCACAAGCCAAUAGGUACGGUUUUUAAUCCUAUGCAUUUCUUGCUAUGUACUAUGAGUGGGUGCUGUUAUUGUAUCAUGUAUUGUGUAUCAUUUAAUUUCCAAUUCUUUUUAUAUAUAUUGUGUGUUUUUAAUGUUAGUUCGGCUGUUGCCUGUGCAAAGGCCAGACCAUGUGU